rnacentral:tRNA from 1 species
GGAGAGAUUGAACAUCGGCAAGUUCAGCGGUCCCGAAAACCGCGGCCUUCCCAGGCUUGGGAGUUCGACUCUCCCUCUCUCCGCCA